rnacentral:rRNA from 1 species
UACGGACUGUGCAAACGUUAUUCGGAAUCACUGGGCUUAAAGAGUCCGUAGGCGGCAUGUUAGGUGAGGUGUGAAAUCCCCCGGCUCAACCGAGGAAUUGCGCUUCAAACCGGCGUGCUUGAGGAAGAUAGAGGUAAGCGGAACUUACGGUGGAGCGGUGAAAUGCGUUGAUAUCGUAAGGAACACCUGUGGCGAAAGCGGCUUACUGGGUCUUUUCUGACGCUGAUGCACGAAAGCCAGGGGAGCAAACGGG